ncrna:unclassified sequences S15-Flavobacteria ribosomal protein leader
UAGCUUUGCACACGAAUUGCGAAAACCGCAUUUUCUACAUAAUAAUCAUUUAAAUAAUAUUAGCAUG